UAUUUCCUCCUCCCCAUCCAGCUCACAUGUACACACCCCCGAUGGGAGGUUUCACUCAUGUUUUUAGAGAUUACUUCCUUCUACCUGCUUAGCCUCUGAGUGAACUGAUUAAAAUAAAGGGGUGACCAGCUGAGAUGGAUUAAAAUGGACAGUGUGCAUGUCACUGAGGAACUGAGGGGCUGGAAAUCAAGUCUCUGCAUGCCUGUAUCCCUUGAGCUGCCUUUGCAUGGUGAACACUCUGUUUUGUGCUUGCAUGCUCAUAGUCCCUGUAACCUCUUGCAGAAGCCCAUAUUCUGGAAAUGUGGAAGAGCACCUGCAGUCCUUUUUCCAGCCCUGGUCCAGGCUUUUCUUAAAGGCCAAACAAUUCCAGAAAGUGUGGAAAACCCAGCAGGAGUACAUCCUUGUAGAGAUGUUCAAAUAUAGCCUCUAAUCCUGUUUGGAGAAAGCUGGGUAGCGAAGGGCCAAGAGCCUGUGAAAGGAUGAUCUCUCUAACCGUGGACCAUAACCCCCUUUCAUAGCACUUCACUGAUGAACACAGCAUGAUCUUGUUAGGGGGGGCAGAUCAUUUAUGUGAUUUUUCUUGAGCGGUACCAUGACAAGUCAUUUUGGCUGUAUCCCUCAAAUAAUACUAUAUGGAAAAAAAGAUCGAGUUUCUCUUUUCCCUCCUUCCUCUUGCCUGGAUUUCCCCAUUCUGCCCUGCAGACCAUUGGCUGGGGUUUUUAGAAGCUGAUUUUGCAAGCGCUCUUUGAGCCAUUGGGGCAGUGCGGAUGUGUGAUGAGUUACAUCAGCGUCGGUGAGAAAGGGAGCACCACCCCAUUUCUGUGAGCAGCAAGGGUUCUUCCUGCAUGCCUUCUGCCUUGUUGGGAAAGGAGCAGCGGGUACAGUCCAGAGUGAAACCCAGAGUGUGUGACACCCAGUAAUUAGAGACGGUGAUGACCCUGAAUCAGUUCCCCUGAAAUGGAGAUCACUCCAGAACCUGUUCCUAGUGCUAAUUCCACUGAGGGCAGUUGUUUCCAGUGGUCAAAAUGAGCAAUACGCUGAAUGCAUAGGUACUCCAGAUGAGCUGGAUCCUCAAAAAGAGAAGAGUGUUCCCUUUCUUUCCCCCAUCUCUCUUACACUUGCAGACAUAUCAUUGGCAGCCCACAGGAAGCUCCUGGAGGCAUUUUUGAUGGCCUCGUGGUGUAGUUUUGUCACGGCCACCCAAGCCCACCUCCUCCGCUUCAUCCCAGGCUCUGCUGAGUCACCUUUGUGGCUGAGUGAGCGGGAGGUCUGGAUUUCCCUCCCUGUGCUCAUCUGCCUGCUUUCCAGCCUGAAAGCACCUUGCCCAGACAGGCCUUACCACCCUGCCGGUGGCCCACAGGUUUAGAAAGAAGCUGUUGUGUUAAAUGUUUCAAAUAAAAGUUGAACAGAAGUGGGAGAAAAAGGGCAAGUGCAAGAAAAUGAAUAGGUGAACUCAGGACAAGCAGAGUAAAAGGAGAGCAGCAGGCAAGAGGCCAGAGAAAGAGAGGAUGUGUUAGAAGAGCUGAUACAUGUUCAGUGAUGCUAACAUUGGUCAGAGGUAAACUUGACCCUAAUGCAGAGAGUGUGGAGAAGAUGAGAAACUGAGCUUUUCGGGCUUGUUAAGUUCACAGAAUCAAAUACUUCUGCAUGGCCUCAUUUACUUGUGGUUUUCUUCCUUGCCUGCUGCCCUACUGGGAGCUUCUCUGUGCAGUGUCUGCGGCUGCAUUGAUGCCCAGUGUCAGCGGGCAGCACAGUGCUAAGUUCAGAAAUGCUCUGCAUGUUCCCCCCAAUGCAAAGAAGCAGGAGAGAGUGCUCCAAAGGGACCACAGGGCUGCAAAUCCCCUGGAAAUAGGAACUGUUCUCCCCCAAUUGUUUCACAACCUCUUCUGCAAACACCUUAAGGAACAUGGAAAGUAAGUCAGCAAAACGAGAGCAAAAGGAAUGGGGAAAAAGCAAAUAAAAAUGGAAGCAGAGGAUUGUGCAAGCACAACUUCACUUGUGACGCUAUUUGCCCUUGGCAGUUUCAUCUGAAGUCUCCUUGCAAAAGCUCUGUGCCAUCUAUCAGGCGGUGAGGAUGACUCAAUGUCAUGUCACUGGAACAAACAGAGUUGAAAACAGCUCCCUCCACAGCUAUCUCCAUUUUUGGUAAUGUCUUUGGAGUGAAGAGAAAGAACUAGGCCUGCUUUAAAAGGAAAAAACUCCAUCCCCUCUGGUAAAGCUGCACCUAUCUUCCUCCAGGAGAAAAUAUUGACCAAAUGGAAGUGUGCAGCUAUGAAUCCCAGGGGACGUGCAUCACUAACUUCUCAUUUUUUUGAAAGCACUUGACAGUCAAUGCAGGACUCAGACUAGUUCAUGCCUCUCUAAUGCUAUGGGCUGAUCAAACAUCACAGAAGAAAUAGUAUCUGUCUCAAAUAUACAGGAAAGCGGAAUGCUGGAACCUGAAAGCUGGCUAGAAAUUGCUGCCACCUUCUUGUACAGCUAUGACUAGGUAUUGCUAGUUAUUUAUACCAGCUUUCUGAACGGCCAGCCUCUGAAACCCAUAUUCACCCAUCCACAAAGGCUGUACUGAGAUCAACAGAACUGGUUUUGGACAGACCUUUAUAUGGUGCAGCACAAGGUUAUGGGAAUGAGGCUGAAAUUCUGGCUCAUUGGAGUCGAUGGGACUUUUGCCUAUUGCUUUAAUUGGAGCCAGAAUUUCCUGUCACUAACAGUGUUAAAAGCAGGCACUAAUCCAAGCACAUGAAUGCAGGAGUUUGCUAAAGCAUUUAUUUUAGCAGCAUGGCCCAGGUUUGCUGCUGCAGCAGUGCGCUUGGUGCUGGUGUAACUUCCCAGGGAUUGAUGGGAUGGCAGUGGCAUAAGCCUGUGUUCCCUGCCCACAGAGGACAGUUGGAAGCUCUGUUUGUGAAGUUCUCUUCGGACCUGGAUUUUCAGCUGGAGGCUCUGUUUGUUUGCGGUGGAGCUUUCUGCCAUAUCUGGGGAGAGAGAACAACAGCACACGUGGUGUGCUCCUGACACCCUUUAUAGAGAAAUCAUAACAUAUUAGCUACAAAUCUGCCUGCACUGUGUUUGUUCAAGUUAAUAAAUUAUGCUGGAGAAUAAAUAGAUGCUAAAUUACAUCCUGGCCAGAACUUUUAUCUUGCCUGUAAUAUUAAUUAUAGCCUGCCUCUGAUGCCCUCAGGGAGAGCUGGCAAAUGGCUGCAGCAGUCAUGUGUGACUCUGCUAGCUCUUAUUUGAUUUUUCAUUUAAUCAAUGCCCAAUAAAUCUGUAAUCUCCUGAAUCUGGACAUCUGUGUUUAAUGUAUCCGGGGAGUGACCUAAUUAAAUUCCAGUUUACACCAUCCCAUGAUGGGACUGGACACUUGGAUUUCUGCUUUUGUGGGAUCAUAGUGUUGCAGAAAUAUCCCCAUGCUUGCCAGUGACCUUUGUGAAGCCCAGGGGGCCCCCCAAGAAGAGGAUUUGGGGAAUAAAGCAGGACAAAUAUUUUCAAAAGUAUUGCAGAGGUUGUUUGCUGCCUGCUGUACACUCAAGGCCCUUUGCUUGCUAGGAACAUCUGCAAAAAUGUGUCCACUGGAAAGUGCUCCAAAGAAGAGCUGCUAUUCAGCUGAGCACAUCAUAUACUGCAGUGUAAAGUACAGCCCUUUCCUGUGAAAUGUCUAUCCCUCUGGCUUGUUAAGGACUGUGGAUUUUAUAGCCACCACGUUUGUGUAGUACAAUGAAGAUGAGCCAUUCCAGCUCUGGUUUUGGGUUGAAGCAUUGGGUUAGGUUUGAUGCUCAUGUAAUGAUCCCUGCAGAGCAGGUCUGGCUGCUGGACCUUCUCUUUGCACAGAUCAAUAGCAUGUUUAAGCAGGAGCCAUUCUGAGUGCUUGUAGCAUGAGGAGACCGUCAGUCUCUCUGAGGUGACCCACUAAAAGUGAGCAUGACACGCACUUCGCUAUCACAGCUUAUGCAAAGAAAUGAUGCUGUUGCACCCAGCAUAAAGAGAGGGGGAUGGAUAGACAAUGCUUAGAAUUACUGUACUGGGUCUCACACCCUGUUUUUGGCAAUAGCAGUAGUGAAUAUUUAGGGAUGAAUGCAAGAGCAUAGAGUAUAUAUAGUGCUGCUGUCAGACUGUUAGUGUCUUAAGGACUUCCUGUGCUGGAGGGCACCUCUAGACCAUCACCUUUAAUAGUUACUGAUGACUGAUAGAAUGACAGAUGGAUUUCCUGCUCUUUGGUAAUGCUUUAUCAAUCCUGACCAGAGUGAUCUUUGCUUAUGGCCAUAAACCAAGGCAUUUUAUGUGGAACUAACUUACUCCUCUCCACCUCUUAAUCUUCAGAAAUGCUUGUUCUGGAUGAAAUGGAUUAACAGGCCAUAGUUUUCAUUUCAGAUGAACGGUUGAUAAAUUGUUGUGCUGAGGAAAGAGAUUUGCUGUUUGUAUAUGGUUGGUAAUACAGUUUAUCCUUCCUGUGGACUAUUUUCUCCACUGAGCAUUAUCUGCAUUAGGAAGAACAGAUUUCAUUAUUUUUUGGGUUAAGAAUCUGAUUUGUUUGCUUUGUGCUUCUUUCAAUAAACUUCAUUUAAUAAACGCUAA